rnacentral:rRNA from 1 species
AGUGAAACUGCGAACGGCUCAUUACAACAGAUAUAAUUUACCAGUUGAUUUAAAGUUAUACGGAUAACUGCGGUAAUUCUGGAGCUAAUACGUGCGAAAAGCUCGAUGUUCGCAAGAAUUUCGAGUGCAUUUAUUGGUGCAAAACCGGUCCCCGCAAGGGGUAUCAUUUGCUUAAUCUGGAUAAAUUCGCUUAUCGUAUGGCCUUGUGUCGACGAAAUUUCUGUCAAGUAUCUGCCUUAUCAAUUGUCGUUGGUGCUGUAUUGGAGUACCAUGGUGUUAACGAGUAACGGAGAAUCAGGGUUUGACUCCGGAGAGGGAGCCUUAGAAACGGCUACCAUGUCUAAGGAUAGCAGCAGGCGCGAAAAUUACCCAAUAUCAAAACGAUGAGGUAGUGACGAGAAAUAACAAGACCGUUCUCUUUGAGGUCGGUCAUUGGAAUGGGUACAAUGUAGACACUUUAACGAGUAUCUACGAGAGGGCAAGUCUGGUGCCAGCAGCCGCGGUAAUUCCAGCUCUCGUAAGGUAUAGAAUUAUUGCUGUGGUUAAAAAGUUCGUAGUUGGAUUGUUAAGUUGGUGCGGGUCCAUCUUUUACGGAUGUGUACUCGUUGCCUUCGAAUUUACAUAUUGUGGGGUGGGUUGCGCUUGCGUGGCUCACUCUCGUAUGUAGGAUUACUUUGAACGGCUCAAGUGCUUAAAGCAUGUCUUAUGACUGAAUACCGGUGCAUGGAAUAAUGGAACAGGGCUUCGGCCGGGUUUUAUUGGUUUUGCCGGCUGAUGCAAUGGUUAACAGGAACAAUCGGGGGCAUUCGUAUCGUUACGCGAGAGGUGAAAUUCGUGGACCGUAGCGAGACGUACUAAAGCGAAGGCAUUUGCCAAGAGUGUUUUCAUUAAUCAAGAACGAAAGUCAGAGGUUCGAAGGCGAUUAGAUACCGCCCUAGUUCUGACCGUAAACGAUGCCAACUGUCGAUCCGCUUGUGGAUUUAAUUCAUGAGCGGGGAGGUUCCCGGAAACGAAAGUUUUUCGGUUCCGGGGGAAGUAUGGUUGCAAAACUGAAACUUAAAGGAAUUGACGGAAGGGCACCACCAGGAGUGGAGCUUGCGGCUUAAUUUGACUCAACACGGGAAAUCUCACCCGGCCAGUACAUUGUAAGGAUUGACAGAUUGAUAGCUCUUUCAUGAUUCGGUGAAUGGUGGUGCAUGGCCGUUCUUAGUUCGUGGGGCCGACUUGUCUGGUUUAUUCCGAUAACGAGCGAGACUUUGACUAUUAAAUAGUGCGUACUUUACUUCGGUUGAGUAUGAUCACUUCUUAAAGGAAUUUGGGGUUUCCAACCUCAAGAGAUUGAGCAAUAACAGGUCUGUGAUGCCCUUAGAUGUUCGGGGCCGCACGCGUGCUACAAUGAUGGUAACAGCGUGAUUGUCCUUCUCCGAGAGGAGUUGGCAAACCCUUGAGAUAUUAUUAUGGCUGGAAUUAAGAGUUGAAAUUUUCUCUUAUGAACGAGGAAUUCCAAGUAAAUGUGAGUCAUCAACUCACAUUGAUUACGUCCCUGCCCUUUGUACACACCGCCCGUCGCUGCCCGGGACUGGGUUACCUCGAGAAAACUCGGGAUUGUUGAUUUGCAAUGCUUUCGGGUAUUGUUUUUGAUGAGAACGAGUUUAAUCGCGGUGGC